rnacentral:rRNA from 1 species
UACCCGCUGAAUUUAAGCAUAUAAUUAAGCGGAGGAAAAGAAACUAACUAGGGAUUCCCCUUAGUAAGGGCGACUGAAGGGGGAAGAGCUCAUAAUGUGAAUCUGCGCCUUGGCGCCGAAUUGUGGUCUGUCGACUUUGGUAUUAUUGGCCCGGCUAAGUCCCUUGGAACAGGGCAGCAUAGAGGGUGAGACUCCCGUCCGCCUGGCCUUUUGAACCAGAUGUCUACGAGUCGAGUUGUUUGGGAUUGCAGCUCAAAGUGGGUGGUAAAUUCCAUCUAAAGCUAAAUAUUGGUGGGAGACCGAUAGCGUACAAGUACCGUGAGGGAAAGAUGCAAAGAACUUUGAAAAGAGAGUUAAAGAGUACCUGAAAUUGCUGAAAGGGAAGCGAAGGAAAUCAGUGCUUACUGAGUCAUAUUUCUCACUUUGCUUGCAGAGUGGGCGCUGUGUCUUGGUGUGUGUCAGGCUUGGUUGGGCUUGUUGGAAUCGCGCAGUGAGAGUUGAUCACUGCAUGUCUGCAACGAGCUUGACUGAGGUUGACAAAAUGGUUUUCUUUACCCCGUCUUGAAACACGGACCAAGGAGUCUAACAUAUGUGCGAGUAUAGGAGUGUCAAACUCCCAUGCGUAAUGAAAGUGACAGUGGUUGGACCUUGUGGCACAAUCCGCCGGCCUCAAUCCCUCGGGAGAAUGGUCUGAGUGUGAGCAUACAUGUUGGGACCCGAAAGAUGUGUGAACUAUGCCUGAAUAGGGUGAAGCCAGGGGAAACUCUGGUGGAGGCUCGUAGCGAUUCUGACGUGCAAAUCGAUCGUCAAAUUUGGGUAUAGGGCGAAAGACAAUAACCCCCCU